rnacentral:rRNA from 1 species
UACGUAGGGGGCAAGCGUUGUCCGGAAUCAUUGGGCGUAAAGAGCGUGUAGGCGGCUCGGUAAGUCCGCUGUGAAAGUCCAGGGCUCAACCCUGGAAUGCCGGUGGAAACUGUCGAGCUAGAGUCCGGAAGAGGCGAGUGGAAUUCCUGGUGUAGCGGUGAAAUGCGCAGAUAUCAGGAGGAACACCAAUAGCGAAGGCAGCUCGCUGGGACGGUACUGACGCUGAGACGCGAAAGCCAGGGGAGCAAACGGG